rnacentral:rRNA from 1 species
AGAGUUUGAUCCUGGCUCAGGACGAACGCUGGCGGCACGCUUAACACAUGCAAGUCGAACGAGAGAAGAGGAGCUUGCUUUUCUGAUCUAGUGGCGGACGGGUGAGUAACACGUGAGCAAUCUGCCUUUCAGAGGGGGAUACCGAUUGGAAACGAUCGUUAAUACCGCAUAACAUAAUUGAACCGCAUGAUUUGAUUAUCAAAGAUUUAUCGCUGAAAGAUGAGCUCGCGUCUGAUUAGCUAGUUGGUAAGGUAACGGCUUACCAAGGCGACGAUCAGUAGCCGGACUGAGAGGUUGAUCGGCCACAUUGGGACUGAGACACGGCCCAGACUCCUACGGGAGGCAGCAGUGGGGAAUAUUGCACAAUGGAGGAAACUCUGAUGCAGCGAUGCCGCGUGAGGGAAGAAGGUUUUAGGAUUGUAAACCUCUGUCUUCAGGGACGAAAAUAGACGGUACCUGAGGAGGAAGCUCCGGCUAACUACGUGCCAGCAGCCGCGGUAAUACGUAGGGAGCGAGCGUUGUCCGGAAUUACUGGGUGUAAAGGGAGCGUAGGCGGGAUCGCAAGUCAGAUGUGAAAACUAUGGGCUUAACCCAUAAACUGCAUUUGAAACUGUGGUUCUUGAGUGAAGUAGAGGUAAGCGGAAUUCCUAGUGUAGCGGUGAAAUGCGUAGAUAUUAGGAGGAACAUCAGUGGCGAAGGCGGCUUACUGGGCUUUAACUGACGCUGAGGCUCGAAAGCGUGGGGAGCAAACAGGAUUAGAUACCCUGGUAGUCCACGCCGUAAACGAUGAUUACUAGGUGUGGGGGGACUGACCCCUUCCGUGCCGCAGCAAACGCAAUAAGUAAUCCACCUGGGGAGUACGACCGCAAGGUUGAAACUCAAAGGAAUUGACGGGGGCCCGCACAAGCAGUGGAGUAUGUGGAUUAAUUCGAAGCAACGCGAAGAACCUUACCAGGUCUUGACAUCGUAUGCAUAGCUCAGAGAUGAGUGAAAUCUCUUCGGAGACAUAUAGACAGGUGGUGCAUGGUUGUCGUCAGCUCGUGUCGUGAGAUGUUGGGUUAAGUCCCGCAACGAGCGCAACCCUUACUGUUAGUUGCUACGCAAGAGCACUCUAGCAGGACUGCCGUUGACAAAACGGAGGAAGGUGGGGAUGACGUCAAAUCAUCAUGCCCCUUAUGACCUGGGCCUCACACGUACUACAAUGGCUGUCAACAGAGGGAAGCAAAGCCGCGAGGUGGAGCGAACCCCUAAAAGCAGUCUUAGUUCGGAUUGUAGGCUGCAACCCGCCUACAUGAAGUCGGAAUUGCUAGUAAUCGCAGAUCAGCAUGCUGCGGUGAAUACGUUCCCGGGCCUUGUACACACCGCCCGUCACGCCAUGGGAGUCGGUAACACCCGAAGCCUGUAGUCUAACCGCAAGGAGGACGCAGUCGAAGGUGGGAUUGAUGACUGGGGUGAAGUCGUAACAAGGUA